GGGUUUAAGGUGGACGUCUGGGUUUUAAGGUGGAUGUCUGGGUGUUAAGGUGGACUUGUGGGUUUAAGGUGGACGUCUGGGUUUUAAGGUGGACGUCUGGGUUUAAGGUGGAUGUGCGGGUUUGUGUUCAGGUUUUUUUGUAAUGCUGCAGAUUGAAGAGCUGAAUCUGUCUCUGAUGAUGUUUCUCAUGUAACCGGCUCUUUCCAUGGAUUUGUGGAUGUUUGUCA